rnacentral:lncRNA from 1 species
GCUGCGCCGCCGCCAGAAAGGCGGACAUGGGGAAGUCGGCGGGCCGUGGCGCGUGGAACGGGUGGUGCCCUGGCAGGAGGGACUGGCUUAUGCCACCCUGUGCAGGAUCGUCUUCUCAGCUUACAGAGCCUAGUGUGAUUCAACAACCCUCCAUCUCUGCCCCCAACAUGCCCAACUGAUCUGGUGGAGGGAACUGAAGAUGAAGGCCUCUCAGGCACCAUGGAUGGGAUGGGUGUGUGUGAAGGGGGCAGGGUCCCCAGGAGCUGCCCCAGGUCUGGCUGGACAGUUGCACGGGAAGUCCUGUUUGUGAACUCAACGUUUCCACGGCUUUUCCAUUAAACUUUACCCCAAAUCACACCUGGCUCUGUGGGUUUCCUUCCAUUCUCCAAGGCCUCCCUGGGGUCUCUGGGAAGUGUGGGCCAGGGAAGGGGGCAAAGGACUAGCAUUCGUCUCCUUCCUGCUCAAUGCACCAUUUUUUCUCCCUGUUCCUGUCUCUGUUGCCACUUACUUUAGGUCCGGAAGUGGUGGUGGUGGGGCGGGGGGACAAAAUCAGGAACGUGUCAUCUGAGGGUUCCGGCCAGGUUUCAUGAGAUACCCACCUUCACCUGACCACCCUUCCAUCUUCUGAGUUAAAAAGAGGCAAUUACAACAAGGUGCCCCCCAGAUGAGGCUUUGCCAGACUCUCCCCUUGACAGCAACCCACCAGCACAUGGCAAGCCCUGAUCCCCAGGGAGGAGGGUCCAACCCU